CCUGUGAAGGAAAAGUCGUAACAAAGGUUUUAUAGGUAACCCCGCAAGAUGGAUAUUGGAAAAAAAACCUUUUUUUCUAGGGUGUGGGAUGGCAACUGUCCCAACAAAACUGGGGGCGACCUUUUUAAACAGGGGUGAUUUUUGGAAGUAAAAAGUCGUAACAAGGUCUCCGUUGGUGAACCAGCGGAGGGAUCAUUACCGAGUUUCCAACUCUUGGAAGUAAAAGUCGUAACAAGGUCUCCGUAGGUGAGCCGGGGGAUGGGAUCAUUACAGGGGAGCCGGUUUUUACCACGGGGAUGUUCAUAGCCCUUUGUUGUAUGUCUUUGUGGCCUCCGGGGCGACCCUUCCUUCAGGCGGGGGGUCCGGGUGGACCCUUCAAAAUGCGGUGUAACAUUGCAGUAUGAGUAAAUUAAUUAAUAAAUUAAAACUUUGCACAAAGGAUGUAUUGGGUCUAGCAUCGAUGAAGAACGCAAUGAAAUGAGAUAAGUAAUCAGAAUAGCAGAAUUCAGUGAAUCAUCGAAUCAGUGAUCUCGCAUUGCUCCCCCUCCGAGUCCCGGGGGCAUGCUUGUACGAGUGUCAGUUCUCCACUCAAGCCUCGCUUGGUACUGGGCAACGCGGUCCGCUCGCGUGCCUCAAAUCGACCGGCUGGGUCUUCUGUCCCCUAAGCGUUGUGGAAACUAUUCGCUAAAGGGUGUUCGGGAGGACACGCCGUAAACCAACCCCAUCUGAAAGGUGACCUCGAUCACGUGAAAACAG
rnacentral:rRNA from 1 species